ACUUAAAUUGAAGAGUUUGAUCAUGGCUCAGAUUGAACGCUGGCGGCAGGCCUAACACAUGCAAGUCGAGCGGUAGCACAGAGAGCUUGCUCUCGGGUGACGAGCGGCGGACGGGUGAGUAAUGUCUGGGAAACUGCCUGAUGGAGGGGGAUAACUACUGGAAACGGUAGCUAAUACCGCAUAAUGUCGCAAGACCAAAGUGGGGGACCUUCGGGCCUCAUG
rnacentral:rRNA from 1 species